rnacentral:rRNA from 1 species
AGUGAACGCUGGCGGUAGGCCUAACACAUGCAAGUCGAACGGCAGCACAGUAAGAGCUUGCUCUUACGGGUGGCGAGUGGCGGACGGGUGAGGAAUACAUCGGAAUCUACUUUUUCGUGGGGGAUAACGUAGGGAAACUUACGCUAAUACCGCAUACGUCCUACGGGUGAAAGCAGGGGAUCUUCUGACCUUGCGCGAUUGUAUGAGCCGAUGUCGGAUUAGCUAGUUGGCGGGGUAAAGGCCCACCAAGGCGACGAUCCGUAGCUGGUCUGAGAGGAUGGUCAGCCACACUGGAACUGAGACAGGGUCCAGACUCCUACGGGAGGAAGCAGUGGGGAAUAUUGGACAAGGGGCGAAAGCCUGAUCCAGCCAUACCGCGUGGGUGAAGAAGGCCUUCGGGUUGUAAAGCCCUUUUGUUGGGAAAGAAAAGCAGCAGGUUAAUACCCCGCUGUUCUGACGGUACCCAAAGAAUAAGCACCGGCUAACUUCGUG